UCGAACGGGCACCUUCGGGUGUCAGUGGCAGACGGGUGAGUAACACGUGGGAACGUGCCCUUCGGUUCGGAAUAACUCAGGGAAACUUGAGCUAAUACCGGAUACGCCCUUAUGGGGAAAGGUUUACCGCCGAAGGAUCGGCCCGCGUCUGAUUAGCUAGUUGGUGGGGUAACGGCCUACCAAGGCGACGAUCAGUAGCUGGUCUGAGAGGAUGAUCAGCCACACUGGGACUGAGACACGGCCCAG
rnacentral:rRNA from 1 species